AUAUAUAUGUAUAUUCUCUCAAAUCCCUACGACCGGAAAUGAUGUAGAUAGUGUGCAAAAAAAAUGGAAGCAACUUCGCGAUUGUUACGUGAAAUCAAAACAGAAAAUUAAAGAAUAUAUUCCAAGGAUCGGUUGCGCACAAAGAAUGCGAAAUCAACAUUUCGUUUAUACGAACAAAUGAAAUUCCUUAACGAUGGAGAAGUCAGCAUAAGUUAUUUAUAAUAGUUAUCGGAAAAAGUAUGUUUUAAAAGUAUACUUUUCUAUGCUAAUUUAAAAAAUAAUGUAAAUAAACAAUAUUAACAAUUUAAAUCUUCCAUCGUAGUUUUCCAUCGUAUUUCGCACAUAGUUCCAUAAAAGAAAUUCUAAAAUAAUUCGAUUAAUUUGUGUUUAUAUAGAAAUUUCUGUUUAUACUGUUACCAAUUUAUCAGAAAAAACAUGCACGAGCGAUGUUACUGAAGACAUUGAGUUAACAACUGCAAAUCCCAUACUGAUUGUAUCUCAACCGUUAAGUUCUAUUGACAGUCAGCAGUCGCUAAUUGAUGACCUUACGCCUUCGCCAAGCCAUCAAAAACGGACAUCAAAAAAGUCGAAAAAUAGUGAUGAUGACAAGGAUGUAAGAGCAGCAAUUUGUUCAGCUCUUGAAAAUGGGUCUGUAAGAAAGCAGGAUGCAGUGAAUGGAUUUCUACUUCAAAUAGAUCAUCUACGAGCUCUCCCAAUACACGAGAGGCAUCAAUUUGAAAUAAAAAUCUUAUCUCAACUUUUUGCUUUAGAACAAGAAUUAAAUGCAAUUUAAUGUGUUUGUGCAAAUGGUUUAUUUAUAUUUCUUUUGUGAUAUAAUU